GGUUAGCCUUUUUUGGGCGAAGCUGAGAAUUUAAGCCCCAGUAAACGGCGGUGGGAACUAUAACCAUCCUAAGGUAGCGAAAUUCCUUGUCGGGUAAGUUCCGACCCGCACGAAUGGCGUAACGAUGGCCACACUGUCUCCUCCCGAGACUCAGCGAAGUUGAAGUGGUUGUGAAGAUGCAAUCUACCCGCUGCUAGACGGAAAGACCCCGUGAACCUUUACUGUAGCUUUGCAUUGGACUUUGAAGUCACUUGUGUAGGAUAGGUGGGAGGCUUUGAAGCAGAGACGCCAGUCUCUGUGGAGCCGUCCUUGAAAUACCACCCUGGUGUCUUUGAGGUUCUAACCCAGACCCGUAAUCCGGGUCGGGGACCGUGCAUGGUAGGCAGUUUGACUGGGGCGGUCUCCUCCCAAAGAGUAACGGAGGAGUUCGAAGGUUACCUAGGUCCGGUCGGAAAUCGGACUGAUAGUGCAAUGGCAAAAGGUAGCUUAACUGCGAGACCGACAAGUCGAGCAGGUGCGAAAGCAGGACAUAGUGAUCCGGUGGUUCUGUAUGGAAGGGCCAUCGCUCAACGGAUAAAAGGUACUCCGGGGAUAACAGGCUGAUUCCGCCCAAGAGUUCAUAUCGACGGCGGAGUUUGGCACCUCGAUGUCGGCUCAUCACAUCCUGGGGCUGUAGUCGGUCCCAAGGGUAUGGCUGUUCGCCAUUUAAAGUGGUACGUGAGCUGGGUUUAAAACGUCGUGAGACAGUUUGGUCCCUAUCUGCAGUGGGCGUUGGAAGUUUGACGGGGGCUGCUCCUAGUACGAGAGGACCGGAGUGGACGAACCUCUGGUGUACCGGUUGUAACGCCAGUUGCAUAGCCGGGUAGCUAAGUUCGGAAGAGAUAAGCGCUGAAAGCAUCUAAGCGCGAAACUCGCCUGAAGAUGAGACUUCCCUUGUGGUUUAACCACACUAAAGAGUCGUUCGAGACCAGGACGUUGAUAGGUGGGGUGUGGAAGCGCGGUAACGCGUGAAGCUAACCCAUACUAAUUGCUCGUGAGGCUUGACUCU
rnacentral:rRNA from 1 species